UGGACCCACCUGAUUCCAUGCCGAACUCAGAAGUGAAACGCAAUAGCGCCGAUGGUAGUGUGGGGUUUCCCCAUGUGAGAGUAGGACAUCGCCAGGC
rnacentral:rRNA from 1 species